rnacentral:rRNA from 1 species
GGGUUGGGUGAGUGGCGAACGGGUGAGUAACACGUGAGUAACCUGCCCCCUUCUUUGGGAUAACGGUCGGAAACGGCUGCUAAUACCGGGUAUCACUGUCCUUCGCAUGGGGGGUGGUGGAAAGGUUUUUUCUGGUGGGGGAUGGGCUCGCGGCCUAUCAGCUUGUUGGUGGGGUGAUGGCUUACCAAGGCUUUGACGGGUAACCGGCCUGAGAGGGUGACCGGUCACAUUGGGACUGAGAUACGGCCCAGACUCCUACGGGAGGCAGCAGUGGGGAAUAUUGCACAAUGGGCGAAAGCCUGAUGCAGCGACGCCGCGUGAGGGAUGACGGCCUUCGGGUUGUAAACCUCUUUCGCUCAUGGUCAAGCCGCAACAGUGGUUGUGGUGAGGGUAGUGGGUAAAGAAGCACCGGCUAACUACGUGCCAGCAGCCGCGGUAAUACGUAGGGUGCGAGCGUUGUCCGGAAUUAUUGGGCGUAAAGGGCUUGUAGGCGGUUUGUCGCGUCUGCCGUGAAAUCCUCUGGCUUAACUGGGGGCGUGCGGUGGGUACGGGCAGGCUUGAGUGCGGUAGGGGAGACUGGAACUCCUGGUGUAGCGGUGGAAUGCG